rnacentral:rRNA from 1 species
UACGAAGGGUGCAAGCGUUACUCGGAAUUACUGGGCGUAAAGCGUGCGUCGGCGGUUUGUUAAGUCCGCUGUGAAAGCCCUGGGCUCAACCUGGGAAUUGCAGUGGAUACUGGCAAGCUAGAGUGCGGUAGAGGAUGGUGGAAUUCCCGGUGUAGCGGUGAAAUGCGUAGAGAUCCGGAGGAACACCAGCGGCGAAGGCGGCAUCCUGGACUGGUCCUGACACUCAGGAGCGAAAGCGUGGGGAGCGAUCCGG